CCAUGGGGAAUCCAAAACUGUCUGCACAUUUUCACCACCAUCUUCAAAGUCACACCACAAUGACAGAAUAGCACAACGCAGGGAGUGCCAUCUGAUCUAAGGCGAGAAGGAGAGAGAUGGACGGGCAGACACAAAAGAAGGAAAGAGAGAUAGAUUUAAUGAGCCACGCCAAUGAACCCACUCCUUGUUAAGAUAAUUAUGAUCAAGCUCAUUGUCACAGUGAAUUUCUCAACGUGUUUGCCAGUGCGGCGUCUGCCUGAGUUAGCACACAGCUCACAAAACAGGAGAUUUAGCUGCUAAACAACAUACUUCGCUGGAAAAAACAUGAUUACACUGUAUAAAUAAGGCGACCAAAUGACCAGGAUACAAAACAGGAUUUACACAAGCUCUAGUCUGGAUCCAGAACACCUGAGAAAAGAUGAUGCUAACCAUCAGAGGACCUCAGAUGAUGCUAACCCUGAAUCAACAAACAGAACUAACAAAUAUUGCUACAAGUGUGACUGCAUUAUAUAACAAUUAUUAAUUAAUAAUAUUAAUAAUGUUCAUCGUCUGGCUGACUACGUCUUGUAUUAAUUUUUCAAAAAAAUCCUGUCAUACGCGCACAAACUGACAGUCACCACUAAUAAGCUACUACUAAAUAUUGUAGAAACAAUUUUCUGUAAAGUUGCUUUGUAACAAUUUGUAUUGUAAAAAGCGCUAUAGAGAUAAACUUGAAUUGAAUGUUAUUUUUUCAUUACUCCACAUGGCGACACAUUUGUGGAAAUAUUCCCCUCAUUAAACCACCAACACGAAAACGAGGAACAAAA